GACGAACGCUGGCGGCGUGCUUAACACAUGCAAGUCGAACGGAAAGGCCCUGCUUGCAGGGUACUCGAGUGGCGAACGGGUGAGUAACACGUGGGUGAUCUGCCCUGCACUUCGGGAUAAGCCUGGGAAACUGGGUCUAAUACCGGAUAGGAGCCAUUUUCAGUGUGAUGGUUGGAAAGUUUUUUCGGUGUAGGAUGAGCUCGCGGCCUAUCAGCUUGUUGGUGGGGUAAUGGCCUACCAAGGCGGCGACGGGUAGCCGGCCUGAGAGGGUGGACGGCCACAUUGGGACUGAGGUGCGGCACAGACUCCUACGGGAGGCAGAAGGGGGGAAUAUUGCACAAUGGGCGCAAGCCUGAUGCAGCGACGCCGCGUGGGGGAUGACGGCCUUCGGGUUGAAAACUCCCUUCGCUAGGGACGAAGCUUUUUGUGACGGUACCUAGAUAAGAAGCACCGGCUAACUACGUG
rnacentral:rRNA from 1 species